GACGAACGCUGGCGGCGUGCUUAACACAUGCAAGUCGAACGGAAAGGCCCUGCUUUUGUGGGGUGCUCGAGUGGCGAACGGGUGAGUAACACGUGAGUAACCUGCCCUUGACUUUGGGAUAACUUCAGGAAACUGGGGCUAAUACCGGAUAGGAGCUCCUGCUGCAUGGUGGGGGUUGGAAAGUUUCGGCGGUUGGGGAUGGACUCGCGGCGUAUCAGCUUGUUGGUGGGGUAGUGGCUUACCAAGGCUUUGACGGGUAGCCGGCCUGAGAGGGUGACCGGCCACAUUGGGACUGAGAUGCGGCCCAGACUCCUACGGGAGGCAGCAGUGGGGAAUAUUGCACAAUGGGCGGAGGCCUGAUGCAGCAACGCCGCGUGCGGGAUGACGGCCUUCGGGUUGGAAACCGCUUUCGCCUGUGACGAAGCGUGAGGGACGGUAAUGGGUAAAGAAGCACCGGCUAACUACGU
rnacentral:rRNA from 1 species